CGAACGGGUGAGUAAUGCGUGACCAACCUCGCCCCAUGCUCCAGAAUAGCUCUUGGAAACGGGUGGUAAUGAUGGAUGCUCCAACUUGACGCAUGUCUUGUUGGGAAAGUGUUUAGUGGCAUGGGAUGGGGUCGCGUCCUAUCAGCUUGUAGGCGGGGUAAUGGCCCACCUAGGCUUCGACGGGUAGCCGGCCUGAGAGGGCGGACGGCCACAUUGGGACUGAGAUACGGCCCAGACUCCUACGGGAGGCAGCAGGG
rnacentral:rRNA from 1 species